UACGGAGGGUGCAAGCGUUAUCCGGAUUUACUGGGUUUAAAGGGCGCGUAGGUGGCCACCAUAAGGCCGCGGUGAAAGUUCGGGGCUCAACCCUGAAUCGGCCGCGGCGACUGUGGGGCUGGGGCACCGUAGAGGCAGAUGGAAUUCCGGGUGUAGCGGUGGAAUGCGUAGAGAUCCGGAAGAACACCAGUGGCGAAGGCGGUCUGCUGGCGGUGAGCUCGCAAGGGCUCGAAGUA
rnacentral:rRNA from 1 species